AUUGAACGCUGGCGGCAUGCUUUACACGUGCAAGUCGAACGGUAACAGGCCUUCGGGUGCUGCCGAGUGGCGAACGGGUGAGUAAUGCAUCGGAACGUACCCAGAGGUGGGGGUUAACGCAGCGAAAGCUGUGCUAAUACCGCAUGUGAUCUGAGGAUGAAAGCGGGGGACCGCGCAGCAAUGUUUGGCCUCGCGCCUUUGGAGCGGCCGAUGUCGGAUUAGCUAGUUGGUGGGGUAAAGGCCUACCAAGGCGACGAUCCGUAGCUGGUCUGAGAGGACGACCAGCCACACUGGGACUGAGACACGGCCCAGACUCCUACGGGAGGCAGCAGUGGGGAAUAUUGGACAAUGGGCGCAAGCCUGAUCCAGCAAUGCCGCGUGCGGGAAGAAGGCCUUCGGGUUGUAAACCGCUUUUGGCAGGAACGAAACGGUGUCCGCUAAUACCGGGCGCUAAUGACGGUACCUGCAGAAUAAGCACCGGCUAACUACGUG
rnacentral:rRNA from 1 species